UAAUUACAUAAUUGACACAACGAAGCCCUAAACUGCCAUGUGCAAACUCUCGAUAUCAUUUUACACCACUCACGUCACCCACCAAAUCAGAGAGAGAGAGAAAGCCGCCGGCAAAGGAGGAAGCUGACCUCCGGUGACCGGCCUUGGGUCCAUGAAACUUCGGCGAGUCAGAUCUGUCGUGCAUAUCCCGUUUUGGUGUAACUCCUACCUAUUGCUUCACUGCUCCGGCAACUGAUGAAGGAUUACGGUGGUUUUGGUUUUGAGCUGGUGGUUGAUGAUGAUGGGUUUUUGUUGCUCGCCGAGUGAAACGGGUAGAGGUGAUUCCAACAAGUGGGAUUGUCACAAUUGAUGGGUUUUUGCAGCUGAAAGCAAUUGGGGGUAGUAAUCACCGGUAGCUGAGACGACUGCCGGCGGCAGAAACGACUCCGACAGUCGGACACUGGUCAAGAGAGGAGAGAACCCUCUCGAUUUCAACUUCAACUUCCAAGUUUGGGAUCUCUAAUCUUUUCUCAUCAAAAACUUCCGGUGAGUGAAGAACCAUUGUUGCUGCAACUCUGCAAGGGACACUUUGGGGACACUUUGGGUCAGGUAGUCAUCUUUGGUAGUUGGAGCUUUGGUUCUUAAAGUGUAAGGCUUGAUUCACAUAGGAGAGACACUCUCAGGUAAUCCUAAUGAACCACCUUCAACCAAAAGGACUCUGAUAUUGAUGGAUUUAAAAAUUGUUUUCCACACUUAACCUAACAAUUCAAUAUCCAAAUUUUUGUAAUGAGAAAUUUUUAAUUCCCCUCACCUGUAUAGUUAUUUUGGUUAAAUUAUAUUUAUCAUAUGUAUUAUAGUUGAAGAGUUAAAGAUUAAAAAAGUUGCAGUUUCUUUAUAUAUACAAUAUUAAAAUUCUUGAAUCUUAUUGUUCAAUAAAGUUCGUAUAUAAUUUUCGAAGUAAGUUGUUUAUUUUUUGUUGAUCCCUGCAUCUUAAAUCCAUCUGGAUGCUUUUCAUUUUGGGGAUUCAAGAUAAGGUAGACUCUACAUAUGUAUAAAUGUGAAGAAAAUUAAAAGGUUUUAUGUAUGUUUCCGUUAGGCAAGUCUUCGAUAUUAUGCAUUAAAUUUGAAAUUUCAUGUAUGCUUUAACUAUUGAUGUAUGUAUCUAAAGUUUUUGAAUGUAGUAAAUUUUAACUAAAUUGAUACAUUAUGAUAUUAUCGCUGCAGUGCAAUUGUACAUCAAAUACAUAAUUCCAUUCUUAUUUAUGUUGAUGCGGAGGCUUAACGAUUUACGCCAUCCCGCAGGUCGGUAUUAAUUCGAGUUCAUCUACGUUUCACGUCAUGUGAGUCACUUGAUCGUUUUUCCGGUUUUGAUCAUCGUUGGGUUUCUAUUUAGCAUGUUUUUUCGCCCCCACCUCUAAUUGCACAGUUUUACGCCCCCCCCCCCCGCCCCGCAACGCGGGGGGCUCAAUUCUAGUUCAUAAACAUUACCCGUAGCUGAAUUCCAGAUAAAAACGCCAAUUUUCCACUUCACGAGGGUCAACCUUAUUUAUUUGCAUUCAUACCAUAGAGAGUUGCCAUAAAUGAAAAAUAUGAAAUGAAAAAAAAAAAAAAAAAAAAACCGUCAUGGGCAUGCCUUAUUUCA